rnacentral:rRNA from 1 species
UACGGAGGGUGCAAGCGUUAUCCGGAUUCACUGGGUUUAAAGGGUGCGUAGGUGGGCUGGUAAGUCAGUGGUGAAAUCUCCAGGCUUAACUUGGAAACUGCCAUUGAUACUAUCAGUCUUGAAUACCGUGGAGGUCAGCGGAAUAUGUCAUGUAGCGGUGAAAAGCUUAGAUAUGACAUAGAACACCAAUUGCGAAGGCAGCUGGCUACACGAAUAUUGACACUGAUGCACGAAAGCGUGGGGAUCAAACAGG